UUAUGGGCGAAUCAUAUUCCUUGAGUGGGAUAUAGGGACAAUCAUAUAGCUCGAGUUUCAUCCUUGGAAGUGGCAGAGAGUGUUCUUCAUUUAAUUAAUUGUUGUCUUCUUUUCAGCUCCUUUCGUUUUUCUCCCCUAAUCACCAUUUUCAAAAAAAAAAAAAAAAAACUUGAGAGAUCACAAUUAUAGUAACACUACAUACAUUAAGGAUUAUAUUUGUGUGAUCGUGAAUCUUCCGUUCGUUCCUGUCUCUACUACAAGGUAUGUAUUUCUACUCAUUCUUGUGUUAUUUGUUAUUGUCUUUAUAUUAUAUUAUAUUAUUAUUUCUUCAUACAUGUUUGUAAUUAUAAUCCAUGAAGAAAGAAAGUGAAAUAUCUGUUCAAUUUAAUCGCCAUUUUCUCCUACCA